UGCAUAUCAGCCCCCAUAGGAGAAGUAGACCUCAAGCUUUCAUCUCCCUCUAUUUUGCAAAUCGUUCGGUGAAAUUGAAUUCUAGACACGUACUCCCCGAUGACUUGAGGCGAAGGAACCUAUAGUGCAUUUUGGAGACAAAGGAGUGAACCUAGAAGGUAGAGAAGUAUCAAGGUGAAAUAUGCUUAUGUUCAUAAGCCUAAGAGGUUAGAGUUGAUAGUAUGUCAGUGUGGUUGGGCAGCUUUGCAAUUUUUGGCGGGUCACUGGUGAUCAACAUGGUUAAAAAUCGUGG